rnacentral:lncRNA from 1 species
CACAGGUGUACAACCGAUUAGUCGAAGAUAGCUUAAACCGACAGAAGCAUUCCACUUCAAUAAAUGAACUACAAAGAGGACGUUUUAGUAAUGGAACUUUUUCCUUUUUAAGGACAUCCGAUUUUUUUUUCUCACCAAAAGAACCUGACUACUUCUACAUCGUUGAAAACAGAAUAUAUAAGAUAGUAACUAUCCAGGGAAACCAUAUAUUAAUUUUGAAGGUGUAGAAGUUUUGAAUUUACAAAACUUUUUUAAUACGCCCAUACAAUCUGGUAAUCUUAAUAUUAAAUGUUGUAAUGUAUUAAAUUUUUCCACGACCAAAGUCUAACAUUCAUUAGAGGAAAUAUCCGAAGAAAUUAUUAAGUUCCAAAAUUUUGAAGGCAAUAUUAAUUUCUUCAUUCCUUUCCUACAUUCAUCUUAGAUUUAAAAAGUUCAACUUAAGUAAUACAACAACAUAAUACAUACAAAAGUAAUACAGACAUGGACAUGAACAUGGCCUUAAAUAGUGUAUAUGAUAACACGUCGGAUAAUACACCGAUCACCAAGAUCACCAUAAAAUUGUACAACCUUACAUUAACUUUUUCUUUUCAGAUCUCAAAAACUUGGAACAAAAAAUUUUAGAUGAAUUGAAAAAAACAGAGAGAAAAAUAUUGUCUGGUAUGUACGUAAGGCGUGAUCCAUCUAGACAAUUUUUUUAUUUAAAAUAAGACACUUAAAACAGAACUGGAUGUCUGACUCUUUAUUAUCACCCAAAAGAGAUGUUUUGUGAACUAGAAUAGCCCAACUAAGAUUUGAAAAGAACUCUAAUAAUAUUGUAAUUGGCUCGUGUCUCUAAGACAUUGUCUAAUGCAUUUCUAAUCCUUACCAUAUUAAGUAGUAAGCGAUAGAAAUGUAUUAGACAAGUAUUAGAGACAUGAGACACUUAACCGUAGUAAGAUUUUAUUUUAUUGUGUCGUUAUUGCGGAGUACCAUCGAUAUCUACAAGUAUAAAUAUUGUAUAUCUUUGUAGAAUUAAAUCACAACCAAAAAUCGAUGAAGAAGACUCUUACUCGCAUUUUGGAAGAAACGAAAGUAAGAAGUCAGAACCAUACAGAAAGGAAAGUGGCCACCAGUCUUCCAAAAAACCGUAUACCAGUCUAGAUGAAUUCAAAGCAUUUGAAAAAGAAAUUCAAGAACAUCACUCCAAAUUUAAUAGCCUGGUGGCUGAGUUAUCAUUAGUGUUUUCACAAUCUGCGGAAAAGUAUGUAAAGGCUGCCUGGCGAAAAAUAUUACCGGAUGAAGCCGCUCAGCAUUUAUCUUGGAAGGGCACAGAAACCAAAAUGUCAGCUAGAUCACUGAGUGUGACAAUGGCUUUAAAAAGCUCAUUUUCGAAAAAGUAUCCACAUAGUUCGGACAGCGAAUUUGUGUAUCUUAUAUAGUAACCACCUAACAGAUCAGAGAAACUAUACUGUGAUCAUGUAGAUAAUGUUUUAGAUUUAUCACUUGCAAAUAAGGAAGCCCAAUUGUGUAUACUUGGUGACUAUAAUCUUAGCAAAAUUAUAUGGUCAUGCCUUUUGGAUGAUACCGUGCUUAUUCCUAGUAAUGUGAAUUGCCCCAGUGAAAUUUAUUUAAUCGAUGGAUUCUUUAGCUUAG